rnacentral:RNase_P_RNA from 1 species
GGGCAAGACCGGGUGGCCGCCGCGGCGAGUUAUUCUCGCCGGGGAGGAAAGUCCGGGCUCCACCGGACAGGGUGCUGGGUAACUCCCAGGCUUCUGAUGCAGUUUGACCACUGCGCCAGGGGACGGAAAGUGGCACAGAAACAUACCGCCUCCACCAUGAACCCGCGCAGCCCAUUCCCCGCAAUGGACUGCCUGAGUGACGGAGGUAAGGUUGAAAUCGGACGGUAAGAGCGUCCGGUCGCUUGUGGCGACACAGCGACGGCUAAACCCCACCUGGAGCAAGGCCGAAUAGGGGGACUAUGGGCGUCCGGCUCGUCCCCGGGUUGGCUGCUCGACCCCGACGGCAACGUCGUCCCGCUCGCUUCUCGCGCGCGGACCUGCGUCGGUCCACCCGACCGCUUCGCAGGGGGCUAGAUAGAUGGUCACCGUCCUGUCGGCGAAUGGCCGCCAGGAUACAGAACCCGGCUUACAGGUCUUGCCCGGCU